ACGAACGCUGGCGGCGUGCCUAACACAUGCAAGUCAACUUGACUGAAGGAGCAAUCCGACAGUAGAGUGGCGCAAGGGUGCGUAACGCGUAAGUAACUUGCCCCAAGGUAAGGAAUAACGUCGAGAAAUCGGCGCUAAUACCUCAUAAUGCAGCGGAUCCGCAUGGAUAUGUUGUUAAAGGUUUACCGCCUUGGGAUAGGCUUGCGUCUGAUUAGUUAGUUGGUGUGGUAACGGCACACCAAGGCUACGAUCAGUAACUGGUCUGAGAGGAUGAUCAGUCACACUGGAACUGAGACACGGUCCAGACUCCUACGGGAGGCAGCAGUGAGGAAUAUUGGGCAAUGCUCGAAAGAGUGACCCAGCAACGCCGCGUGGAGGAUGAAGGUAUUCUAUAUCGUAAACUCCUGUGAGAGCAGACGAAAGACAGAUUAUUAAUCUGGAUGACUGUAUGCUCAGAGGAAGCCCCGACUAACUACGUG
rnacentral:rRNA from 1 species